rnacentral:rRNA from 1 species
CUACGGGAGGCUGCAGUGAGGAAUAUUGCACAAUGGGGGGAACCCUGAUGCAGCAACGCCGCGCGGAGGAUGACGCAUUUCGGUGUGUAAACUCUUUUUAUAUGUCAAGAAAAUGACGGUAGCAUAUGAAUAAGCACCGGCUAACUCCGUGCCAGCAGCCGCGGUAAUACGGAGGGUGCAAGCGUUACUCGGAAUCACUGGGCGUAAAGGACGCGUAGGCGGGUUGGAAAGUCAGGUGUGAAAUCCUACAGCUUAACUGUAGAACUGCACUUGAAACUUCUAAUCUAGAGUAUGGGAGGGGGAGAUGGAAUUAGUGGUGUAGGGGUAAAAUCCGUAGAUAUCACUAGGAAUACCUAAAGCGAAGGCGAUCUCCUGGAACAUUACUGACGCUAAGGCGUGAAAGCGUGGGGAGCAAACAGGAUUAGAUACCCUCGUAGUC